UUUCCGUAGGUGAACCUGCGGAAGGAUCAUUAUCAAAACAGCGGACUUCGGUCCUUGCUGCACCCUUGUCUUUUGCGUACUUCUUGUUUCCUUGGUGGGUUCGCCCACCACUAGGACAAACAUAAACCUUUUGUAAUUGCAAUCAGCGUCAGUAACAAAUUAAUAAUUACAACUUUCAACAACGGAUCUCUUGGUUCUGGCAUCGAUGAAGAACGCAGC
rnacentral:misc_RNA from 1 species